CAGGCCUAACACAUGCAAGUCGAGCGCUCAGGGGUGUUCCCUUACGGGAAACCCCCUGGAGCGGCGGACGGGUGAGUAACACGUAGGCAACCUGCCUGUAAGAUCGGGAUAACUACCGGAAACGGUAGCUAAGACCGGAUAGCUGGUUUCUCCGCAUGGGGGAAUCAUGAAACACGGGGCAACCUGUGGCUUACGGAUGGGCCUGCGGCGCAUUAGCUAGUUGGUGGGGUAAUGGCCCACCAAGGCGACGAUGCGUAGCCGACCUGAGAGGGUGAUCGGCCACACUGGGACUGAGACACGGCCCAGACUCCUACGGGAGGCAGCAGUAGGGAAUCUUCCGCAAUGGGCGCAAGCCUGACGGAGUAACGCCGCGUGAGUGAUGAAGGUUUUCGGAUCGUAAAGCUCUGUUGCCAAGGAAGAACGCCUCGGAGAGUAACUGCUCUGAGGGUGACGGUACUUGAGAAGAAAGCCCCGGCUAACUACGUGCCAGCAGCCGCGGUAAUACGUAGGGGGCAAGCGUUGUCCGGAAUUAUUGGGCGUAAAGCGCGCGCAGGCGGUCUUUUAAGUUUGGUGUUUAAGCCCGGGGCUCAACCCCGGUUCGCACUGAAAACUGGGAGACCUGAGUGCAGGAGAGGAAAGCGGAAUUCCACGUGUAGCGGUGAAAUGCGUAGAGAUGUGGAGGAACACCAGUGGCGAAGGCGGCUUUCUGGACUGUAACUGACGCUGAGGCGCGAAAGCGUGGGGAGCAAA
rnacentral:rRNA from 1 species